AGGAAGUAAAUGAUAAGUUCAGGAAACUUAAAGAAUUUGGCGGUAUUUAUUUUAUUAGAGGAAUAUGUUUUUUGAAUGAUAAUCCACGAUUAUCUUACUUAAUUUAAUUUAUUUUGUAUAUCUCCGUCUUAAAAAAUUUUUUUAAAAUAUAUUUUGUUUUUUAUAAUAUAACAUAAGUCAGGUCAAGAUGCAGAUUAUAUUUAAGUUAAAAUGUAUUACAAUAAAUUUAUUUUUGGAAAUAUUUAUGAAAAUAAAUAUAUAAAUUGGAUUUAUAAGUAAAUUUAUUUUAUUAUAAUAGAUUGAAUUUUUUUAUAAAUAUGU
rnacentral:rRNA from 1 species